GAUGAACGCUGGCGGCGUGCCUAAUACAUGCAAGUCGAGCGAACAGACGAGGAGCUUGCUCCUCUGACGUUAGCGGCGGACGGGUGAGUAACACGUGGAUAACCUACCUAUAAGACUGGGAUAACUUCGGGAAACCGGAGCUAAUACCGGAUAAUAUAUUGAACCGCAUGGUUCAAUAGUGAAAGACGGUUUUGCUGUCACUUAUAGAUGGAUCCGCGCCGCAUUAGCUAGUUGGUAAGGUAACGGCUUACCACGGCGACGAUGCGUAGCCGACCUGAGAGGGUGAUCGGCCACACUGGAACUGAGACACGGUCCAGACUCCUACGGGAGGCAGCAGUAGGGAAUCUUCCGCAAUGGGCGAAAGCUUGACGGAGCAACGCCGCGUGAGUGAUGAAGGUCUUCGGAUCGUAAAGCUCUAUUAUUAGGGAAGAACAAAUGUGUAAGUAACUAUGCACGUCUUGACGGUACCUAAUCAGAAAGCCACGGCUAACUACGUG
rnacentral:rRNA from 1 species